rnacentral:rRNA from 1 species
CCUACGGGAGGCAGCAGUGAGGAAUAUUGGUCAAUGGACGCAAGUCUGAACCAGCCAUGCCGCGUGCAGGAAGACGGCUCUAUGAGUUGUAAACUGCUUUUGUACGAGGGUAAACGCAGAUACGCGUAUCUGUCUGAAAGUAUCGUACGAAUAAGGAUCGGCUAACUCCGUGCCAGCAGCCGCGGUAAUACGGAGGAUUCAAGCGUUAUCCGGAUUUAUUGGGUUUAAAGGGUGCGUAGGCGGUCUGAUAAGUUAGAUGUGAAAUCUCGAGGCUCAACUUCGGAAUUGCCUUUGAUACUGUUCGGCUUGAGAGUAGUUGCGGUAGGCGGAAUGCGUGGUGUAGCGGUGAAAUGCUUAGAGAUCAUGCAGAACACCGAUUGCGAAGGCAGCUUACCAAGCUACGACUGACGUUGAGGCACGAAAGCGUGGGGAGCAAACAGGAUUAGAUACCCGUGUAGUC